AACGAACGCUGGCGGCGUGGAUAAGACAUGCAAGUCGAGCGCUGAUUUCAGGGUAGCAAUAUUCUGGAGUCGGAGCGGCGCAAGGGUGCGUAACACGUGGGUAAUCUGCCAUGAAGUUUGGGAUAACUUGCUGAAAGGCGAGCUAAUACCGGAUGUGAAAAUCAGGUGGCAUCAUUUGAUUUUCAAAGCUGGGGACCGUAAGGCCUGGCGCUUCAUGAUGAGCCCGCGGCCUAUCAGCUAGUUGGUGAGGUAACGGCUCACCAAGGCUAAGACGGGUAGCUGGUCUGAGAGGACGACCAGCCACACUGGAACUGAGACACGGUCCAGACACCUACGGGUGGCAGCAGUCGAGAAUUUUUCACAAUGGGCGCAAGCCUGAUGGAGCGACGCCGCGUGGGGAUGAAUGGCUUCGGCCCGUAAACCCCUGUCAUUUGCGAACAAACCUCAUUAUCUAAAAGAUGAUGAG
rnacentral:rRNA from 1 species